rnacentral:lncRNA from 1 species
UACAUAUCUGGACUAAACUCUGAUUUUUACAUGAACAGGUAAAAUCGGAGAUUUGUGCUUCUGAUUUUAUAGAACUAGCCUAUCCCUUUACAUUUUCAUUUUAGCACAGAUUGGGACGAAUUAGGGCCAUCUACGUGUGAUUUUUAUUUUUUUAAACAAACCUUACGGUUUAAUCAAAUGAAUCAAAUACUAAGGUAUGAAAAUUAAGCAAUGAAAUACAGAAUCAUUUCAGUCACAUGUUGAGUCACAAGAGUUAAAACUAAAGGCUCAUAUGAUGUUUAUACCUGAUAAAUGCCAUAUCCAACUAAACUGACAUGGAUCUCGAAACUAUCUUACAUCUAUCGUUUGAUCUAUGAUUAUACACUGUUAUUUAAUUAAGUGCAUGAAACUUGAACAAUCAAUCUCAACCAAUUGAAUCUACUAUCUCUAGGUACCAUACUUUAUCAUGUUGAAAUUCAAAACAGUCCAAAAUAGGCUAAAAUAGUCCAGAACCGUCCAAUCAAUACAGAAUAGGUAAUAGUUUAAUUAACAUUGUUGAAUUAACAUCUAAUCAUACAAAUUAGAAGAGCAUUCAUGUAAAACUAAAAGAGAACAAGUACUUCUUCAGUAUUUCUUCUCGAAAACAGUCAUACAUAUGUAUUCCAUCUCACAACACUUGAGGUUUUAGGAUGUACCUAGAAAUUGGAAUUACAAUGAAACUGGAGGGAGGAAGAUAAUCAGCAGCAGUAGAGAACAGUCAACACAACAAUAGGAAUCAAUUGAAAACCAAAAUAGCAUCCAUAUCACCCAGGGAUGAACUACAGAUGAACAAUCAACCAGCGAAAUCAACCAUAUUAGAGUCGAUUGACCAGUUUCAACUUGAAAUCAACCCAAAAUAACUCAAAUACACCCAAAACUGACUCAAAUUGGCAUCAUGUAACUUUCUGAAAAUUCAGUGGCUAUAACUAAGCUAGGACAUGAAAAUCAGUGAUUAAAACUCAAAUUAGCCUAAAGGAUUUGAUGUAACAGAGCUCAUUUUUGUAGUUUUCUUCUAUUUUCCUUUUUGUUUGGUUUUUUUUGAAGGUUUUGGAAUUUGAAAUGCAAAUUUCAGAUUUGAAACUUUGUUGAACAAUUUGAGGGAAUUUUUUCAGAUCCGUGUAACUUAUGAAACAAGGCAGAAAUGACUGCCUUUAUCGGCAAAGAAGGGCAGGAAUCUUCUAGAUUGCACUCACACUUUUUCUCCUCUUUUAAUUUCAGAUUUUAUUCAAUAGCCCUUAAAGUUUUGUCUUGCUUCUCAAGUUAUUACCUUAAACAUCUGAAAUUCUAACUAAAGCCCUAUUUUAGAAGAUUCUAGAUGGUUCUAGUCUUAACUACAACAUUCUUGGGAAAAUCUAAAUACCCAAACUACCCCUGAAUUUGUUUGAAAUUUCCAAUCCUAUACUAGUUGAACCCAACCCCUUUUAUCAACCAUGG